rnacentral:rRNA from 1 species
CCUACGGGAGGCAGCAGUCGAGAAUCUUUCACAAUGGGGGAAACCCUGAUGCAGCGACGCCGCGUGGGUGAAUGAAGGUCUCCGGAUUUUAAGCUCUUGUCGUCGGGGAGCAAAUGAAAAAGAUAGUACCAUAAGCGAAAGAUACGACUAACUCUGCGCCAGCAGCCGCGGUAAUACGGAGGGCGCAAGCGUUGUUCGGAGUGACUGGGCGUAAAGCGUGCGUAGGCGGUUUAGUAAGUCGUGUGUGAAAGGCGCGGGCUGAACCCGCGGACGGCAUCUGAUACUGUGCGACUAGAGUAAUGGAGAGGGAAGUGGAAUGCCGGGUGUAGCGGUGAAAUGCGUAGAUAUCAGGAGGAACACCAGUGGCGAAGGCGGGUUCCUGGACAUUAACUGACGCUGAGGCACGAAGGCGAGGGGAGCAAACGGGAUUAGAUACCCGAGUAGUC